rnacentral:misc_RNA from 1 species
AGCAACAUCUGUUUGCUGUGCAGUUUGCAAUGCAGUAACAGCAGUACCACCUCCGGGCACUGAGAUGGCUCAGUUGGUUUGCGGAGGCUGCCACACAUUACUUAUGUACAUUCGUGGAGCAACAAGCGUGCAAUGUUCGUGCUGUCACACAGUCAAUUUAGCUAUGGAAGCAAAUCAGGUAGCACAUGUGAAUUGUGGCAACUGCCACAUGCUGCUGAUGUACCAAUACGGGGCACGAUCAGUGAAAUGUGCAGUUUGCAAUUUUGUGACAUCGGUAGGGGUUGCAACGAGCACAGCUGAGCAAAAGUUUAACAGCUAACUUUAAAGCUGCUGAGCCAGUGCUAGAAACUUCUACAACUAAAGUUGUCGUGUUAUGUGUCAGCGGCAUUUCAGCUGCAUCAACUGGAGGAAAUUUCUAGUUGCUACUAGUAUAGAGCUAUUACAGAGCUUUUUUUCCCUCGCGUAUCUGUAAUAGAAUAAGCAGUUUUGCAGGUUGAGCCUACAAAAGGUAUUGCAUAUAAUGGUAUUGCGUUUGUAAGUCUGGUUGAAAAAUCCUGGAUAGCAAAGACUCCUUUUCACCUACCAUAAUAUUGUUUUCAUCUUGGGAUGCC